rnacentral:rRNA from 1 species
CAGCCGCCGCGGUAAAACGGAGGGUGCAAGCGUUAAUCGGAAUUACUGGGCGUAAAGCGUGCGUAGGUGGUGGUUUAAGUCCGUUGUGAAAGCCCUGGGCUCAACCUGGGAAUUGCAGUGGAUACUGGGUCACUAGAGUGUGGUAGAGGAUAGUGGAAUUUCCGGUGUAGCAGUGAAAUGCGUAGAGAUCGGAAGGAACAUCUGUGGCGAAGGCGACUAUCUGGGCCAACACUGACACUGAGGCACGAAAGCGUGGGGAGCAAACAGGAUUAGAUACCCCAGUAGUCCCUGUCUCUUAUAA